GCCUGGGUGGCUCAGUUGGUUAAGCAUCUGACUUCCGCUCAGGUCAUGAUCUCACAGUUCAUGGGUUCAAGUCCCACAUCAGGCU
rnacentral:tRNA from 1 species